AACUCUAGGUUACAUUACACUAAAUCAUUGUGUAUCCCUCCGUGGUCCAUUCGAAAGUAGUGCCUAUUUCUAAAGAGUUCCUUUUCUCUUCUUGAAUAUAAGCCAUUUAACAAUGUGAGACAUGACUUUUGUGGUUAUUUGUAAUAUCCUGUAUGUGUCUGGAGUACUUUGAUGCCUUGGAUUGGAAGCUAACUUAAAAGAUGAACUUUUGUGGGUGUGUUUUCUAUUGUGUGGGGCUUUUGUCGAAAUUAGGAUUCCGAAACACGUUUUUCUACGGUGGGUUCAUUCGACAGCGAUUUACUUUCUUAGAAGUUGCGAGACGGUAUGUUUUUGAUUGCAAUUAUUGGAAGAUGACAGACCCAUCUUUAAAAUGAUACCAGGUUCGGAAAAAUUGAUACGUCGAAAAGGCAAGAAAAAUGCUGUGAAAGUUGUCAGUUUUAUAAUGGGACCCUAUGGGAAUCGGAAUUAGUGUAAUAUAACCUUUAAAAAGCACAUUUACUGCAAUGUCAAGGUCACAUGGAUUCGUCUGCAAGCGAGACAAGUAGAACAUGAAUUUUAAUUAAUGUUUUGAUGAUUUGGGUGCUAAAAUAGAUGAGAGGUGUCAAUAUUUUGGUCCAAAUGGAUGUUUUAGGUGGUUUUAGACGGUUCCGUAUGGGUGGGGGACCUGGUAUUGACAAGUAAGGGUAACAUUUCCAACAAAUCUUAAAUGUAAAUAUUAUUAUGUCCAUAGAUUGAAGUUUCAGGUGGAGAGUAAGAUGAAAAAUAUGCAAAAUUACAUGCAUGCAACCCAUUUAUGCCAUUUUUCUCUUUGUUUGUAGGCCUGACCGUUUGUCCUUGAGCCGUAGAUGGUCAACAAUCCGCUAGCUGUCUUGCUCUGACUGGUGCACUGGACAUGAUUUCAAUAGUCAGCCAGACCAUGAUUGAGCUUAAGGAUUGUGCUGCGGAUGCAGCCUGUGCAGUUCCGGGAGAAAGUCACUGUCUCCGGCAAUGCGGUCUGGUAUCAGGUCUGGAUGAUCCUUGCCUGACUGCGGGUUUGUGUACACCUCAAUCCGACUCUGUGUCCUGAACAGAGGCCGCAGUGGUGCAGCGCUUGUGGACGAUCCAUCAACAUCCUGAAAGGUCAACACUACACUAAGCUGGGAAAAUUGAUCCUGAUAGUCAUCCCCAGGUAGUGGAAUGAAUGUUCACUGAACUACAGAGGAAUCACACCCAAAUGACUUUCCUGCCACGACAUUAGUGUGGCCACUCGCGUAGGAAUUCCUUAGCAAACAUGCUCUUUUGCAUGGUGACUGUGGACAUUUUUGCAAAACUUAUGCUUUCAACACUGGAUUUUAAAGAGAAUACUUAAUAAAAUGUCGCUAACAGGACUUAUUUAUAUGAGAGAGACUAUCUGGAUGCGCAUUAAGUGUCACUUUGUGUCGUAAGCUGUUGAAGGAGCGAUUUGCGCCUUUUUAAGUGUUAAUUUUGGGUAGCCGGCUUGUAUCAGCUUGAAAGCUGAAAAUUAUGCCUCUCAUCAUAAUAGCAUUAAUUUUUGUAAUUGCAAUGUGUAUGUUUAGAUUGUAAGUGAAGCUUUUAAUAAUAAUUUUCUUAAAAAACAUGAUUUUAUAUGCUGUCAGUGAGUUUUUUAUUGAAAAAAGUGCUUAAAAUUUAAAAAAAGUCUCCUAUUUCAUCAAGAAAAGUACACUGAUUCACAAUCAAUACAUUUAUUUGGGCCUUUUGCUGAUAUAUUGGUGAAUUUCGCAUGCAAUGAUACCAGUUUUUGCCAUGAAAGUUACGCGUAACAAUAAUUGGAGACGCAAAAUCAGCUGUCGUCACUUAGACUAAAAAUCAUGCAUUCCGACUUGACUGCGGCCAAUUUAGUCACCGCUUUAAAUGGCCAUUUUAAGGCCUUUACCCCCAUCCGAAUGCACUGAAAUUGCAUAUUCAUUGUGGAAAUAGUUGAAAUCUCAUGUGGAGAAAGUUUGAAAAAGAUAGGACAAAGUUGAGUUCCCUUAAAGGUUACAUUACACUAAAUCAUUGUGUAUCCCUCCGUGGUCCAUUCGAAAGUAGUGCCUAUUUCUAAAGAGUUCCUUUUCUCUUCUUGAAUAUAAGCCAUUUAACAAUGUGAGACAUGACUUUUGUGGUUAUUUGUAAUAUCCUGUAUGUGUCUGGAGUACUUUGAUGCCUUGGAUUGGAAGCUAACUUAAAAGAUGAACUUUUGUGGGUGUGUUUUCUAUUGUGUGGGGCUUUUGUCGAAAUUAGGAUUCCGAAACACGUUUUUCUACGGUGGGUUCAUUCGACAGCGAUUUACUUUCUUAGAAGUUGCGAGACGGUAUGUUUUUGAUUGCAAUUAUUGGAAGAUGACAGACCCAUCUUUAAAAUGAUACCAGGUUCGGAAAAAUUGAUACGUCGAAAAGGCAAGAAAAAUGCUGUGAAAGUUGUCAGUUUUAUAAUGGGACCCUAUGGGAAUCGGAAUUAGUGUAAUAUAACCUUUAAAAAGCACAUUUACUGCAAUGUCAAGGUCACAUGGAUUCGUCUGCAAGCGAGACAAGUAGAACAUGAAUUUUAAUUAAUGUUUUGAUGAUUUGGGUGCUAAAAUAGAUGAGAGGUGUCAAUAUUUUGGUCCAAAUGGAUGUUUUAGGUGGUUUUAGACGGUUCCGUAUGGGUGGGGGACCUGGUAUUGACAAGUAAGGGUAACAUUUCCAACAAAUCUUAAAUGUAAAUAUUAUUAUGUCCAUAGAUUGAAGUUUCAGGUGGAGAGUAAGAUGAAAAAUAUGCAAAAUUACAUGCAUGCAACCCAUUUAUGCCAUUUUUCUCUUUGUUUGUAGGCCUGACCGUUUGUCCUUGAGCCGUAGAUGGUCAACAAUCCGCUAGCUGUCUUGCUCUGACUGGUGCACUGGACAUGAUUUCAAUAGUCAGCCAGACCAUGAUUGAGCUUAAGGAUUGUGCUGCGGAUGCAGCCUGUGCAGUUCCGGGAGAAAGUCACUGUCUCCGGCAAUGCGGUCUGGUAUCAGGUCUGGAUGAUCCUUGCCUGACUGCGGGUUUGUGUACACCUCAAUCCGACUCUGUGUCCUGAACAGAGGCCGCAGUGGUGCAGCGCUUGUGGACGAUCCAUCAACAUCCUGAAAGGUCAACACUACACUAAGCUGGGAAAAUUGAUCCUGAUAGUCAUCCCCAGGUAGUGGAAUGAAUGUUCACUGAACUACAGAGGAAUCACACCCAAAUGACUUUCCUGCCACGACAUUAGUGUGGCCACUCGCGUAGGAAUUCCUUAGCAAACAUGCUCUUUUGCAUGGUGACUGUGGACAUUUUUGCAAAACUUAUGCUUUCAACACUGGAUUUUAAAGAGAAUACUUAAUAAAAUGUCGCUAACAGGACUUAUUUAUAUGAGAGAGACUAUCUGGAUGCGCAUUAAGUGUCACUUUGUGUCGUAAGCUGUUGAAGGAGCGAUUUGCGCCUUUUUAAGUGUUAAUUUUGGGUAGCCGGCUUGUAUCAGCUUGAAAGCUGAAAAUUAUGCCUCUCAUCAUAAUAGCAUUAAUUUUUGUAAUUGCAAUGUGUAUGUUUAGAUUGUAAGUGAAGCUUUUAAUAAUAAUUUUCUUAAAAAACAUGAUUUUAUAUGCUGUCAGUGAGUUUUUUAUUGAAAAAAGUGCUUAAAAUUUAAAAAAAGUCUCCUAUUUCAUCAAGAAAAGUACACUGAUUCACAAUCAAUACAUUUAUUUGGGCCUUUUGCUGAUAUAUUGGUGAAUUUCGCAUGCAAUGAUACCAGUUUUUGCCAUGAAAGUUACGCGUAACAAUAAUUGGAGACGCAAAAUCAGCUGUCGUCACUUAGACUAAAAAUCAUGCAUUCCGACUUGACUGCGGCCAAUUUAGUCACCGCUUUAAAUGGCCAUUUUAAGGCCUUUACCCCCAUCCGAAUGCACUGAAAUUGCAUAUUCAUUGUGGAAAUAGUUGAAAUCUCAUGUGGAGAAAGUUUGAAAAAGAUAGGACAAAGUUGAGUUCCCUUAAAGGUUACAUUACACUAAAUCAUUGUGUAUCCCUCCGUGGUCCAUUCGAAAGUAGUGCCUAUUUCUAAAGAGUUCCUUUUCUCUUCUUGAAUAUAAGCCAUUUAACAAUGUGAGACAUGACUUUUGUGGUUAUUUGUAAUAUCCUGUAUGUGUCUGGAGUACUUUGAUGCCUUGGAUUGGAAGCUAACUUAAAAGAUGAACUUUUGUGGGUGUGUUUUCUAUUGUGUGGGGCUUUUGUCGAAAUUAGGAUUCCGAAACACGUUUUUCUACGGUGGGUUCAUUCGACAGCGAUUUACUUUCUUAGAAGUUGCGAGACGGUAUGUUUUUGAUUGCAAUUAUUGGAAGAUGACAGACCCAUCUUUAAAAUGAUACCAGGUUCGGAAAAAUUGAUACGUCGAAAAGGCAAGAAAAAUGCUGUGAAAGUUGUCAGUUUUAUAAUGGGACCCUAUGGGAAUCGGAAUUAGUGUAAUAUAACCUUUAAAAAGCACAUUUACUGCAAUGUCAAGGUCACAUGGAUUCGUCUGCAAGCGAGACAAGUAGAACAUGAAUUUUAAUUAAUGUUUUGAUGAUUUGGGUGCUAAAAUAGAUGAGAGGUGUCAAUAUUUUGGUCCAAAUGGAUGUUUUAGGUGGUUUUAGACGGUUCCGUAUGGGUGGGGGACCUGGUAUUGACAAGUAAGGGUAACAUUUCCAACAAAUCUUAAAUGUAAAUAUUAUUAUGUCCAUAGAUUGAAGUUUCAGGUGGAGAGUAAGAUGAAAAAUAUGCAAAAUUACAUGCAUGCAACCCAUUUAUGCCAUUUUUCUCUUUGUUUGUAGGCCUGACCGUUUGUCCUUGAGCCGUAGAUGGUCAACAAUCCGCUAGCUGUCUUGCUCUGACUGGUGCACUGGACAUGAUUUCAAUAGUCAGCCAGACCAUGAUUGAGCUUAAGGAUUGUGCUGCGGAUGCAGCCUGUGCAGUUCCGGGAGAAAGUCACUGUCUCCGGCAAUGCGGUCUGGUAUCAGGUCUGGAUGAUCCUUGCCUGACUGCGGGUUUGUGUACACCUCAAUCCGACUCUGUGUCCUGAACAGAGGCCGCAGUGGUGCAGCGCUUGUGGACGAUCCAUCAACAUCCUGAAAGGUCAACACUACACUAAGCUGGGAAAAUUGAUCCUGAUAGUCAUCCCCAGGUAGUGGAAUGAAUGUUCACUGAACUACAGAGGAAUCACACCCAAAUGACUUUCCUGCCACGACAUUAGUGUGGCCACUCGCGUAGGAAUUCCUUAGCAAACAUGCUCUUUUGCAUGGUGACUGUGGACAUUUUUGCAAAACUUAUGCUUUCAACACUGGAUUUUAAAGAGAAUACUUAAUAAAAUGUCGCUAACAGGACUUAUUUAUAUGAGAGAGACUAUCUGGAUGCGCAUUAAGUGUCACUUUGUGUCGUAAGCUGUUGAAGGAGCGAUUUGCGCCUUUUUAAGUGUUAAUUUUGGGUAGCCGGCUUGUAUCAGCUUGAAAGCUGAAAAUUAUGCCUCUCAUCAUAAUAGCAUUAAUUUUUGUAAUUGCAAUGUGUAUGUUUAGAUUGUAAGUGAAGCUUUUAAUAAUAAUUUUCUUAAAAAACAUGAUUUUAUAUGCUGUCAGUGAGUUUUUUAUUGAAAAAAGUGCUUAAAAUUUAAAAAAAGUCUCCUAUUUCAUCAAGAAAAGUACACUGAUUCACAAUCAAUACAUUUAUUUGGGCCUUUUGCUGAUAUAUUGGUGAAUUUCGCAUGCAAUGAUACCAGUUUUUGCCAUGAAAGUUACGCGUAACAAUAAUUGGAGACGCAAAAUCAGCUGUCGUCACUUAGACUAAAAAUCAUGCAUUCCGACUUGACUGCGGCCAAUUUAGUCACCGCUUUAAAUGGCCAUUUUAAGGCCUUUACCCCCAUCCGAAUGCACUGAAAUUGCAUAUUCAUUGUGGAAAUAGUUGAAAUCUCAUGUGGAGAAAGUUUGAAAAAGAUAGGACAAAGUUGAGUUCCCUUAAAGGUUACAUUACACUAAAUCAUUGUGUAUCCCUCCGUGGUCCAUUCGAAAGUAGUGCCUAUUUCUAAAGAGUUCCUUUUCUCUUCUUGAAUAUAAGCCAUUUAACAAUGUGAGACAUGACUUUUGUGGUUAUUUGUAAUAUCCUGUAUGUGUCUGGAGUACUUUGAUGCCUUGGAUUGGAAGCUAACUUAAAAGAUGAACUUUUGUGGGUGUGUUUUCUAUUGUGUGGGGCUUUUGUCGAAAUUAGGAUUCCGAAACACGUUUUUCUACGGUGGGUUCAUUCGACAGCGAUUUACUUUCUUAGAAGUUGCGAGACGGUAUGUUUUUGAUUGCAAUUAUUGGAAGAUGACAGACCCAUCUUUAAAAUGAUACCAGGUUCGGAAAAAUUGAUACGUCGAAAAGGCAAGAAAAAUGCUGUGAAAGUUGUCAGUUUUAUAAUGGGACCCUAUGGGAAUCGGAAUUAGUGUAAUAUAACCUUUAAAAAGCACAUUUACUGCAAUGUCAAGGUCACAUGGAUUCGUCUGCAAGCGAGACAAGUAGAACAUGAAUUUUAAUUAAUGUUUUGAUGAUUUGGGUGCUAAAAUAGAUGAGAGGUGUCAAUAUUUUGGUCCAAAUGGAUGUUUUAGGUGGUUUUAGACGGUUCCGUAUGGGUGGGGGACCUGGUAUUGACAAGUAAGGGUAACAUUUCCAACAAAUCUUAAAUGUAAAUAUUAUUAUGUCCAUAGAUUGAAGUUUCAGGUGGAGAGUAAGAUGAAAAAUAUGCAAAAUUACAUGCAUGCAACCCAUUUAUGCCAUUUUUCUCUUUGUUUGUAGGCCUGACCGUUUGUCCUUGAGCCGUAGAUGGUCAACAAUCCGCUAGCUGUCUUGCUCUGACUGGUGCACUGGACAUGAUUUCAAUAGUCAGCCAGACCAUGAUUGAGCUUAAGGAUUGUGCUGCGGAUGCAGCCUGUGCAGUUCCGGGAGAAAGUCACUGUCUCCGGCAAUGCGGUCUGGUAUCAGGUCUGGAUGAUCCUUGCCUGACUGCGGGUUUGUGUACACCUCAAUCCGACUCUGUGUCCUGAACAGAGGCCGCAGUGGUGCAGCGCUUGUGGACGAUCCAUCAACAUCCUGAAAGGUCAACACUACACUAAGCUGGGAAAAUUGAUCCUGAUAGUCAUCCCCAGGUAGUGGAAUGAAUGUUCACUGAACUACAGAGGAAUCACACCCAAAUGACUUUCCUGCCACGACAUUAGUGUGGCCACUCGCGUAGGAAUUCCUUAGCAAACAUGCUCUUUUGCAUGGUGACUGUGGACAUUUUUGCAAAACUUAUGCUUUCAACACUGGAUUUUAAAGAGAAUACUUAAUAAAAUGUCGCUAACAGGACUUAUUUAUAUGAGAGAGACUAUCUGGAUGCGCAUUAAGUGUCACUUUGUGUCGUAAGCUGUUGAAGGAGCGAUUUGCGCCUUUUUAAGUGUUAAUUUUGGGUAGCCGGCUUGUAUCAGCUUGAAAGCUGAAAAUUAUGCCUCUCAUCAUAAUAGCAUUAAUUUUUGUAAUUGCAAUGUGUAUGUUUAGAUUGUAAGUGAAGCUUUUAAUAAUAAUUUUCUUAAAAAACAUGAUUUUAUAUGCUGUCAGUGAGUUUUUUAUUGAAAAAAGUGCUUAAAAUUUAAAAAAAGUCUCCUAUUUCAUCAAGAAAAGUACACUGAUUCACAAUCAAUACAUUUAUUUGGGCCUUUUGCUGAUAUAUUGGUGAAUUUCGCAUGCAAUGAUACCAGUUUUUGCCAUGAAAGUUACGCGUAACAAUAAUUGGAGACGCAAAAUCAGCUGUCGUCACUUAGACUAAAAAUCAUGCAUUCCGACUUGACUGCGGCCAAUUUAGUCACCGCUUUAAAUGGCCAUUUUAAGGCCUUUACCCCCAUCCGAAUGCACUGAAAUUGCAUAUUCAUUGUGGAAAUAGUUGAAAUCUCAUGUGGAGAAAGUUUGAAAAAGAUAGGACAAAGUUGAGUUCCCUUAAAGGUUACAUUACACUAAAUCAUUGUGUAUCCCUCCGUGGUCCAUUCGAAAGUAGUGCCUAUUUCUAAAGAGUUCCUUUUCUCUUCUUGAAUAUAAGCCAUUUAACAAUGUGAGACAUGACUUUUGUGGUUAUUUGUAAUAUCCUGUAUGUGUCUGGAGUACUUUGAUGCCUUGGAUUGGAAGCUAACUUAAAAGAUGAACUUUUGUGGGUGUGUUUUCUAUUGUGUGGGGCUUUUGUCGAAAUUAGGAUUCCGAAACACGUUUUUCUACGGUGGGUUCAUUCGACAGCGAUUUACUUUCUUAGAAGUUGCGAGACGGUAUGUUUUUGAUUGCAAUUAUUGGAAGAUGACAGACCCAUCUUUAAAAUGAUACCAGGUUCGGAAAAAUUGAUACGUCGAAAAGGCAAGAAAAAUGCUGUGAAAGUUGUCAGUUUUAUAAUGGGACCCUAUGGGAAUCGGAAUUAGUGUAAUAUAACCUUUAAAAAGCACAUUUACUGCAAUGUCAAGGUCACAUGGAUUCGUCUGCAAGCGAGACAAGUAGAACAUGAAUUUUAAUUAAUGUUUUGAUGAUUUGGGUGCUAAAAUAGAUGAGAGGUGUCAAUAUUUUGGUCCAAAUGGAUGUUUUAGGUGGUUUUAGACGGUUCCGUAUGGGUGGGGGACCUGGUAUUGACAAGUAAGGGUAACAUUUCCAACAAAUCUUAAAUGUAAAUAUUAUUAUGUCCAUAGAUUGAAGUUUCAGGUGGAGAGUAAGAUGAAAAAUAUGCAAAAUUACAUGCAUGCAACCCAUUUAUGCCAUUUUUCUCUUUGUUUGUAGGCCUGACCGUUUGUCCUUGAGCCGUAGAUGGUCAACAAUCCGCUAGCUGUCUUGCUCUGACUGGUGCACUGGACAUGAUUUCAAUAGUCAGCCAGACCAUGAUUGAGCUUAAGGAUUGUGCUGCGGAUGCAGCCUGUGCAGUUCCGGGAGAAAGUCACUGUCUCGGGCAAUGCGGUCUGGUAUCAGGUCUGGAUGAUCCUUGCCUGACUGCGGGUUUGUGUACACCUCAAUCCGACUCUGUGUCCUGAACAGAGGCCGCAGUGGUGCAGCGCUUGUGGACGAUCCAUCAACAUCCUGAAAGGUCAACACUACACUAAGCUGGGAAAAUUGAUCCUGAUAGUCAUCCCCAGGCCUGACCGUUUGUCCUUGAGCCGUAGAUGGUCAACAAUCCGCUAGCUGUCUUGCUCUGACUGGUGCACUGGACAUGAUUUCAAUAGUCAGCCAGACCAUGAUUGAGCUUAAGGAUUGUGCUGCGGAUGCAGCCUGUGCAGUUCCGGGAGAAAGUCACUGUCUCGGGCAAUGCGGUCUGGUAUCAGGUCUGGAUGAUCCUUGCCUGACUGCGGGUUUGUGUACACCUCAAUCCGACUCUGUGUCCUGAACAGAGGCCGCAGUGGUGCAGCGCUUGUGGACGAUCCAUCAACAUCCUGAAAGGUCAACACUACACUAAGCUGGGAAAAUUGAUCCUGAUAGUCAUCCCCAGGCCUGACCGUUUGUCCUUGAGCCGUAGAUGGUCAACAAUCCGCUAGCUGUCUUGCUCUGACUGGUGCACUGGACAUGAUUUCAAUAGUCAGCCAGACCAUGAUUGAGCUUAAGGAUUGUGCUGCGGAUGCAGCCUGUGCAGUUCCGGGAGAAAGUCACUGUCUCGGGCAAUGCGGUCUGGUAUCAGGUCUGGAUGAUCCUUGCCUGACUGCGGGUUUGUGUACACCUCAAUCCGACUCUGUGUCCUGAACAGAGGCCGCAGUGGUGCAGCGCUUGUGGACGAUCCAUCAACAUCCUGAAAGGUCAACACUACACUAAGCUGGGAAAAUUGAUCCUGAUAGUCAUCCCCAGGCCUGACCGUUUGUCCUUGAGCCGUAGAUGGUCAACAAUCCGCUAGCUGUCUUGCUCUGACUGGUGCACUGGACAUGAUUUCAAUAGUCAGCCAGACCAUGAUUGAGCUUAAGGAUUGUGCUGCGGAUGCAGCCUGUGCAGUUCCGGGAGAAAGUCACUGUCUCCGGCAAUGCGGUCUGGUAUCAGGUCUGGAUGAUCCUUGCCUGACUGCGGGUUUGUGUACACCUCAAUCCGACUCUGUGUCCUGAACAGAGGCCGCAGUGGUGCAGCGCUUGUGGACGAUCCAUCAACAUCCUGAAAGGUCAACACUACACUAAGCUGGGAAAAUUGAUCCUGAUAGUCAUCCCCAGGUAGUGGAAUGAAUGUUCACUGAACUACAGAGGAAUCACACCCAAAUGACUUUCCUGCCACGACAUUAGUGUGGCCACUCGCGUAGGAAUUCCUUAGCAAACAUGCUCUUUUGCAUGGUGACUGUGGACAUUUUUGCAAAACUUAUGCUUUCAACACUGGAUUUUAAAGAGAAUACUUAAUAAAAUGUCGCUAACAGGACUUAUUUAUAUGAGAGAGACUAUCUGGAUGCGCAUUAAGUGUCACUUUGUGUCGUAAGCUGUUGAAGGAGCGAUUUGCGCCUUUUUAAGUGUUAAUUUUGGGUAGCCGGCUUGUAUCAGCUUGAAAGCUGAAAAUUAUGCCUCUCAUCAUAAUAGCAUUAAUUUUUGUAAUUGCAAUGUGUAUGUUUAGAUUGUAAGUGAAGCUUUUAAUAAUAAUUUUCUUAAAAAACAUGAUUUUAUAUGCUGUCAGUGAGUUUUUUAUUGAAAAAAGUGCUUAAAAUUUAAAAAAAGUCUCCUAUUUCAUCAAGAAAAGUACACUGAUUCACAAUCAAUACAUUUAUUUGGGCCUUUUGCUGAUAUAUUGGUGAAUUUCGCAUGCAAUGAUACCAGUUUUUGCCAUGAAAGUUACGCGUAACAAUAAUUGGAGACGCAAAAUCAGCUGUCGUCACUUAGACUAAAAAUCAUGCAUUCCGACUUGACUGCGGCCAAUUUAGUCACCGCUUUAAAUGGCCAUUUUAAGGCCUUUACCCCCAUCCGAAUGCACUGAAAUUGCAUAUUCAUUGUGGAAAUAGUUGAAAUCUCAUGUGGAGAAAGUUUGAAAAAGAUAGGACAAAGUUGAGUUCCCUUAAAGGUUACAUUACACUAAAUCAUUGUGUAUCCCUCCGUGGUCCAUUCGAAAGUAGUGCCUAUUUCUAAAGAGUUCCUUUUCUCUUCUUGAAUAUAAGCCAUUUAACAAUGUGAGACAUGACUUUUGUGGUUAUUUGUAAUAUCCUGUAUGUGU